rnacentral:rRNA from 1 species
AAACCCGUCGAUCCAGCCAUGCCGCGUGAGUGAAGAAGGCCCUACGGGUGUAAGCUCUUCGACGGGGACGAUGAUGACGGUACCCGUAGAAGAAGCCCCGGCUAACUUCGUGCCAGCAGCCGCGGUAAUACGAAGGGGGCAAGCGUUGUUCGGAUUUACUGGGCGUAAAGGGCGCGUAGGCGGAUUUGCAAGUCAGAGGUGAAAGCCCUGGGCUCAACCCGGGAAUGGCCUUUGAGACUGCAAGUCUUGAGUGCGAGAGAGGGUGGCGGAAUACCCAGUGUAGAGGUGAAAUUCGUAGAUAUUGGGUAGAACACCAGUGGCGAAGGCGGCCACCUGGCUCGCAACUGACGCUGAGGCGCGAAAGCGUGGGGAGCAAACAGGAUUAGAUACCCUGGUAGUCCACGCCGUAAACGAUGUGUGCUAGCCGUUGGUGACCUUUUUGGUCGUCGGUGGCGCAGCUAACGCGAUAAGCACACCGCCUGGGGAGUACGGCCGCAAGGUUA